AUAACAACAUUCGGACCGCCCGUCUACCGAGCAAAUAUCACCCGCUCUGUGGAAGAUCUUCCCUUUGUCGUUUAAG
rnacentral:pre_miRNA from 1 species